UACACUCAGGGAUAGCCUUUCGAAAGAAGGAUUAAUACCUGAUGGUAUGAUGAGAUUGCAUGAUAGCAUCAUUAAAGAUUUAUCGGUGUACGAUGGGGAUGCGUUCCAUUAGGUAGUAGGCGGGGUAACGGCCCACCUAGCCAACGAUGGAUAGGGGUUCUGAGAGGAAGGUCCCCCACAUUGGAACUGAGACACGGUCCAAACUCCUACGGGAGGCAGCAGUGAGGAAUAUUGGUCAAUGGACGAGAGUCUGAACCAGCCAAGUAGCGUGAAGGAUGAAGGUCCUACGGAUUGUAAACUUCUUUUAUAAGGGAAUAAACCCUCCCACGUGUGGGAGCUUGUAUGUACCUUAUGAAUAAGCAUCGGCUAACUCCGUGCCAGCAGCCGCGGUAAUACGGAGGAUGCGAGCGUUAUCCGGAUUUAUUGGGUUUAAAGGGAGCGCAGACGGGUCGUUAAGUCAGCUGUGAAAGUUUGGGGCUCAACCUUAAAAUUGCAGUCGAUACUGGCGUCCUUGAGUGCGGUUGAGGUGUGCGGAAUUCGUGGUGUAGCGGUGAAAUGCUUAGAUAUCACGAAGAACUCCGAUUGCGAAGGCAGCACACUAAUCCGUAACUGACGUUCAUGCUC
rnacentral:rRNA from 1 species